AGCGAACGCUGGCGGCAGGCCUAACACAUGCAAGUCGAACGAAGUCUUCGGACUUAGUGGCGGACGGGUGAGUAACACGUGGGAACGUACCUUUUGGUUCGGAACAACUCAGGGACACUUGAGCUAAUACCGGAUGAGCCCUUAGGGGGAAAGAUUUAUCGCCGAAAGAGCGGCCCGCGUUAGAUUAGCUAGUUGGUGAGGUAAAGGCUCACCAAGGCUACGAUCUAUAGCUGGUCUGAGAGGAUGAGCAGCCACACUGGGACUGAGACACGGCCCAGACUCCUACGGGAGGCAGCAGUGGGGAAUCUUGCGCAAUGGGCGAAAGCCUGACGCAGCCAUGCCGCGUGAAUGAUGAAGGUCUUAGGAUUAUAAAAUUCUUUUACCAGGGACGAUAAUGACGGUACCUGGAGAAAAAGCCCCGGCUAACUUCGUGCCAGCCGCCGCAGUAAGAC
rnacentral:rRNA from 1 species